rnacentral:rRNA from 1 species
CACGUAGGGGGCAAGCGUUGUCCGGAUUUAUUGGGCGUAAAGAGCUCGUAGGCGGUUCGGUAAGUCGGGUGUGAAACCUCCAGGCUCAACCUGGAGACGCCACCCGAUACUGCUGUGACUUGAGUCCGGUAGGGGAGCGUGGAAUUCCUGGUGUAGCGGUGAAAUGCGCAGAUAUCAGGAGGAACACCAGCGGCGAAGGCGGCGCUCUGGGCCGGAACUGACGCUGAGGAGCGAAAGCGUGGGUAGCAAACAGG